rnacentral:rRNA from 1 species
GACGAACGCUGGCGGCGUGCUUAACACAUGCAAGUGGAGCGACGAACCGGGCUUCGGCCCGGGGCAGAGCCGCGAACGGGUGAGUAACACGUGGGUAACGUGCCCUGAUGACUGGGACAACCCGGGGAAACCCGGGCUAAUACCAGAUGUGGCCUUCCGCCAUCAGGCGGUCGGCUAAAGGUAGCUUCGGCUUCCGCAUCAGGAUCGGCCCGCGGCCCAUUAGCUUGUUGGUGGGGUAAAGGCCUACCAAGGCGACGAUGGGUAGCUGGUCUGAGAGGACGAUCAGCCACACUGGGACUGAGACACGGCCCAGACUCCUACGGGAGGCAGCAGUGGGGAAUCUUGCGCAAUGCGCGAAAGCGUGACGCAGCAACGCCGCGUGGGGGAAGACGGCCUUCGGGUUGUAAACCCCUUUCAGUUGGGACGAAGCUUCGCCGGUGAAUAGCCGGCUGGAGUGACGGUACCUUCACAAGAAGCCCCGGCUAACUACGUGCCAGCAGCCGC